UUAAAUCAUAAAAAAUCGCAUUUUUAUUAAUUAAUCUAUAAACGUAAUAGUACAAGUAUUUUAUUCGAUACAAAAUAAAAUAUAAAAAAUGAAAAAAUACUACAAAUUUCAAAGUGUUCUAAUGUCUUCGUGUCAAUAUUUCUUUAUUUUCUUCAAUUUAUCAUUUUUCACCUCUUCAAUAUUCACCACAAUUUCUUCCAAAUCUACAAAAAAAAAAAUUAAAAAUGAUUAAUUCAUAAACACUCACUAAAAUACAUAUGUGAUUUUCAUGUGAUUAACAUAUGAAUCACAUUUGAUUCACAUAUGAAUCGCAUGUGAUUUACAUAUGAAUCACAUUUACAUAUGACAUCAUAUGUAAAUCACAUGUGAUUUACAUGUGAAUCACAUGUGAAUCAAAUGUGAUUUACAUGUGAAAUCAAAUGUGAUGUACAUGUGAAUCAAAUGUGAUUAAUAUGUGAAUCAAAUAUGAUUUUCAUGUGAUUAACAUAGGAAUGUGUGCAUAUAUAUGUAAUUCACUUGAGAUUUACAUGUGAAUCACAUAUUAUUCAUAUAUGAUUUACAUGUGAAUCACAUGUAAAUAUAUAAAUCAUAUCCAAAUUAAUACAAUGGAUAUUAUAUACGGCAAAAAAGAUAAUAAUUGAGACUACACACCUGAAAUCCAAAUUAAUGUGAGGAGAUCCAAAGACAAUUCAUAAAGCUGCCGUAGGAGUACAUAAAACGUGUUCAUAAAAAUCAUUAAAAAAACUAAGAAAUCUGAAAUUAAUUGAGACUACACACCUGGAAUCCAAAUUAAUGAAGCAUUGCAUUGACAUCAGGCUUUUUUUAGCAUUUCCAGAAUAUCAAGAAUAACCUUUAGACGACUGAUGUGAAUAAGGCUUCAAAUAAUUAUCAACGAGAGAAUCCAUUAUAAUGAAUUGCUUUGUGUAAAUGCAGUUCCUCAGCUGUUACCUAAUUGAUUACAUAUACAUAUACUGACACUGUAUGUAUAUGUAUAUACAAACAUUAGAUUAGAUUUGAAUGAUGAUUACUCAUGUUGACUUGUUUUUAUAAAUAAAACUAGAAUAGGAAAGCUAACCCUCUGGUUUUGAAGCCUCAUUUUGGGAAAGUUGAUAAAACAAAAAUACAGUAUUAAAUAGUGAUAUAAUGAGUGUGGUGACAAAAAUAGGACCGUUGUUUAUUUAGCAUGUCUAAGAAAGAAGGGCAUUUGUAGGUUUGUCAUGAAAAUAUGCUUCCCCAAAGGAGAUGCUAAUGUUGUUUCUAUAAGAAAAAUUGACCUUGAUUUACUACAACCAGACACAUUUGUCAAUGACACCAUCAUUUAUUUUUAUAUCAAGUAUGUUCAUCUUCUCCUUUUGUCUCAUAAUGCUCUUAAGUAGAAAAUAGGACUUCUUACAAAGAGCCUGAAUUUAUACUGUAGUUAAAUCUCCCAUGGAAACAAUAAAUAGAGAAGGGGAAUAUGAUAAGGAAUCAUAAUAUUUGAACAACAAUUCUCACUUUCUAUCCAUGUGGGAUAAGUUAUUACUUAUUACAAGAUCUCUUUAGUGAUUUAGUGAAGCCAUUAAUUUUAGAAUGUUCUUACGUUUUCCACUUAACAAUGAUUAUAAUUUUAAAUGAUGACAAAUUUUUGAAGAAUAAAAUCAAACCUGAGGAGAGACACAAAUUCCACUUCUUCAACAAUUUUUCUUCUGGAAGCUUGCUGAUCCAGAUAAUGAUCCACUUGAUGCUUCUAAAGGAAUAGCAGUUUUUCAACGUACAUAAAAAAUCAGAUAAAUUCAGCAACCAGUUUAAAUUUUAGCAAUUUUGAAGAGAUAUGAGAGAAAUACAUGAAGCAGAUUUGGUUACUUUUAGUGUAAAUAGGAAGGAUGAUCAUGUUAUUCUUUUCAUAUUGAUUACAUUUAGCAUAUUGAUAACGAUUAGGCAAUUAACAGUGGAUUUCUUCAUCAUCGCACUGUUUCCGCCAUUGAUUCUCUAUCUCAAAGAUUUUAUAAUCAUUUCAAUUUUGGAAUUAUUCACUAAUGAUGAUUUUACAUGUACAUCUUCAUAUUAAAUACAAAUUUCCUUGCAAUUUCAUCCAAAAUCGAUAGCAAAAACAAAUUUAUUUUGAAAAGCUAUCAAGAGCAUUAUCAUCUAUGGUUUUCAGUCAACGAUCGUCAUAGGAUCAAUUUUAUCCUACGAACUUAAUCGAAACCAACACAUAAACAACGAAACAUGAUUAAAACUUUGAUCAAACUUACCUGUAAUCGAAUUCGAAGCUCAACUCAUCGAUGCCGAUUUCUACGUGGUUGUUAUAGUUUUACGCUUCCUUCUACUUUGUUUCUCGACUGAUUUUGGUUUAGGAAUAAUGGAACGGUAUGAUUAUUUGAUUUGUACCUGAUUAUAAAAGCUUUUAGUGUAUGUAAUUUAUUAGAAGUUAAUGGUUAAAAAUAAUUGGGGAGAUUGGAGGAUGGAGAGUGAGCUAGAAGAAUACUUCCAAUUUAUGAUGAAUCGAUACCUAAAUUGAUGCUUAAAAAAACUUGAGAGAUCAUUGUUGAUCGAUCUCGAUGAAUCGAUGAUCAUGAAUUGGGUGAUUUAGGGCUUCAAAUAUUGCAAUCGAAGGUGAACACGAAAAUUGUCGAUCUACAGGUUCGUAAAUUCUUCACCGAUGAUCUGGAUAUAAAAAAUUGUCGAUUGGUAGCCGACGUUCAUUGUCAACGGACAUAGACGUGGACCGAUUGAUGGAGGAUGGAAACGAGGGGAAGAGAUACGGUGGAGAGAGAGAGAGAGAGAGAGAGAGAUCUGAUAAGGAAUGGUGAUAGGAGACGUAUGUGUACGAGUCAAUUUCAAU
rnacentral:lncRNA from 1 species